rnacentral:rRNA from 1 species
UACGAAGGGUGCAAGCGUUACUCGGAAUUACUGGGCGUAAAGGGCGCGUAGGCGGCCUGCUAAGUCGAACGUGAAAUCCCCGGGCUCAACCCGGGAACUGCGUCCGAUACUGGUUGGCUUGAAUCCGGGAGAGGGAUGCGGAAUUCCAGGUGUAGCGGUGAAAUGCGUAGAUAUCUGGAGGAACACCGGUGGCGAAGGCGGCAUCCUGGACCGGCAUUGACGCUGAGGCGCGAAAGCCAGGGGAGCAAACAGG